AUUGAACGCUGGCGGCAUGCCUUACACAUGCAAGUCGAACGGCAGCACGGACUUCGGUCUGGUGGCGAGUGGCGAACGGGUGAGUAAUAUAUCGGAACAUACCUUGUAGUGGGGGAUAACUAUCCGAAAGGAUAGCUAAUACCGCAUACGCUCUAAGGAGGAAAGCGGGGGAUCGUAAGACCUCGUGCUAUAAGAGUGGCCGAUAUCUGAUUAGCUAGUUUGUGAGGUAAAGGCUCACCAAGGGGACGAUCAGUAGCUGGUCUGAGAGGACGACCAGCCACACUGGAACUGAGACACGGUCCAGACUCCUACGGGAGGCAGCAGUGGGGAAUUUUGGACAAUGGGGGCAACCCUGAUCCAGCAAUGCCGCGUGAGUGAAGAAGGCCUUCGGGUUGUAAAGCUCUUUUGUCAGGGAAGAAACGGUUGUGGCUAAUAUCCAUGGCUAAUGACGGUACCUGAAGAUUAAGCACCGGCUAACUACGUGCCAGCCGCCGCUGUAA
rnacentral:rRNA from 1 species